rnacentral:rRNA from 12 species
CGUCGUGGAGAGGGAAACAACCCUGACCUACAGCUAAGGCCCCUAAUUCAUGGCUAAGUGGGAAAGCAGGUGGGACGACCAAAACAACCAGGAGGUUGGCUUAGAAGCAGCCACCCUUUAAAGAAAGCGUAAUAGCUCACUAGUCGAGUCGGCCUGCGCGGAAGAUGUAACGGGGCUAAGCAAUAUACCGAAGCUGCGGCAGCACAGUUUACUGUGCUGGGUAGGGGAGCGUUGUGUAAGUGGAUGAAGGUGAGUUGUAAAGCUUGCUGGACAUAUCACAAGUGCGAAUGCUGACAUGAGUAACGAUAAUGGGAGUGAAAAACUCCCACGCCGGAAGACCAAGGUUUCCUGUCCCAUGCUAAUCAGGGCAGGGUAAGUCGGCCCCUAAGGCGAGGCAGAAAUGCGUAGUCGAUGGGAAACGGAUUAAUAUUUCCGUACUUGUAUAAUCAGUGAUGGAGGGACGGAGAAGGCUAGGCAAGCUUGGCGUUGGUAGUCCAAGUGAAAGUGUGUAGGCUGGAAUUUUAGGUAAAUCCGGAAUUCUAAGGCCGAGAC